UUAUGCAUGUUAUGCACAUUAUACUGGUAUUGAAAGAAUACUGACUAUCAAAACAAUGACAUCAUAACUGAAAUAGUAAGACAAUGCACGAAACUGAUUCACAUUAUACUUAUUAUACACUGCAAAAAGAGAUGUGCCAUUACAGCACGCGUGUAGCGUGUUACACAUGUGCCAAACUGCUUAAAGUGUGUUAUUUACCCUCUAGAAAGGUUUAUCACAGCUAAAAGUAUGUCGUUUUGACCCACUGAAUGAAAACGACCCAUUACACAUGUGUCGUUUCUUAUGUACAUUACAUAUAAACAUGAUUGUUACAAGUGAUAACACAAUCACUUGUAAAAAUCAUACUUCAUAUUCCCCCUGGCCCUGGCAACAAAUGUGACAUAGCAACGAGUGAGACUGUUUAAAUGGUAGCUAGCUAGUUAGUUCAACCAAGUAUAGUACAGUACAGUCGAGACAACUGUUUACUUCAAAGAAUUGAACUGCUGGAACCACCCUCAACUCUGAAACUAUACCCGUGAAUUGAUAGACUCUAUACUUGUUUUUUUGGCUGAUGAGUCAGUAAUUCUUCUUUCUCAACAAUGGCAGACUCCUUCGAUUGGGAUAGUGUACGAAACAGAGGGCUCAAAGGUAGGCCAUCCUAACCACCCUCCAAGUGAGCUAGCUGUCUGAAUCUUAAUACUGGUUCCUGUCAGGGCACAAAUUUGAGGUAGGUCAUCCACCCUCCAAGUGAGCUAGCUGUCUGAAUCUUAAUACUGGUCCCUGUCAGGGCACAAAUUUGAGGUACGUUUCCUAUCAAUUAUUAUAUUGCUCCAGUGCAGUAUAUGGCAUGUUGCACUCUGGCUGGGCAAUAACUAAUACAUAUAUACCGGUAUACCAAACAGCAGAGCUGCAGAUAAAACACCACAAAGACACUAAUAAUUAAGGGUCGCUGUUAUUAAUGAAUCUGCAGUUUGAGAAUCACUUUACCACUAUACUGAGGGAGGGAGGUUGCCUAUUUGCCGCCGUGCGAUGAAGCUCAGUUAGUCAACGCAAGGCCUCUGUAUAUACAUGUAUCUGAAGUAAUGAAGGAGCAUCUUGUUAUAUAAACCCAAAUUCAGAAUUCCGACAUGCACAAUACAUGCACUAACAGUAUACUUCAGAUACAUGUACAGACGUACAAUUAUAACAUAAUUAUAGAUCUAUAUAGGUCUACUGUAUAUAUAGAGAGAACAAUAAUUAUCCCGACCAUGCACUAGAUC